GAUGAACGCUGGCGGCGUGCCUAAUACAUGCCAGUCGAGCGAACAGACGAGGAGCUUGCUCCUCUGACGUUAGCGGCGGACGGGUGAGUAACACGUGGAUAACCUACCUAUAAGACUGGGAUAACUUCGGGAAACCGGAGCUAAUACCGGAUAAUAUAUUGAACCGCAUGGUUCAAUAGUGAAAGACGGUUUUGCUGUCACUUAUAGAUGGAUCCGCGCCGCAUUAGCUAGUUGGUAAGGUAACGGCUUACCAAGGCAACGAUGCGUAGCCGACCUGAGAGGGUGAUCGGCCACACUGGAACUGAGACACGGUCCAGACUCCUACGGGAGGCAGCAGUAGGGAAUCUUCCGCAAUGGGCGAAAGCCUGACGGAGCAACGCCGCGUGAGUGAUGAAGGUCUUCGGAUCGUAAAACUCUGUUAUUGGGGAAGAACAAAUGUGUAAGUAACUAUGCACGUCUUGACGGUACCUAAUCAGAAAGCCACGGCUAACUACGUG
rnacentral:rRNA from 1 species